UACGUAGGGUGCAAGCGUUGUCCGGAAUUAUUGGGCGUAAAGAGCUCGUAGGCGGUUCGUCGCGUCGGCUGUGAAAUCCCGAGGCUCAACCUCGGGUCUGCAGUCGAUACGGGCGGACUGGAGUUCGGCAGGGGAGACUGGAAUUCCUGGUGUAGCGGUGAAAUGCGCAGAUAUCAGGAGGAACACCGGUGGCGAAGGCGGGUCUCUGGGCCGAUACUGACGCUGAGGAGCGAAAGCAUGGGUAGCGAACAGG
rnacentral:rRNA from 1 species